rnacentral:rRNA from 1 species
AAUCUUGAUGCUCUAUAUAACCAAAGCAUCCGCCUGAGAACUACGAGCACAAACGCUUAAAACUCUAAGGACUUGGCGGUGCCCCAAACCCACCUAGAGGAGCCUGUUCUAUAAUCGAUAACCCACGAUACACCCGACCACUUCUUGCCAAAACAGCCUACAUACCGCCGUCGCCAGCUCACCUCUUCUGAGAGUACUACAGUGAGCACAAUCGCCCUAACCCCGCUAACAAGACAGGUCAAGGUAUAGCCCAUGAAGUGGAAGAAAUGGGCUACAUUUUCUAACUUAGAAAACCCACGAAAGGGGGUAUGAAAUAGCCCCCAGAAGGCGGAUUUAGCAGUAAAGUGGGAUAAUAUAAGCCCUCUUUAAGCCGGCUCUGAGGCACGUACACAC